rnacentral:rRNA from 1 species
CAAAAACAUGUCUUUUAGUUUUAAUUAAAAGUCUGGCCUGCCCACUGAAGUUAAUUAAAGGGCUGCAGUAUUUUGACUGUACAAAGGUAGCAUAAUCAUUAGUUUCUUAAUUAGGAACUGGAAUGAAUGGUUUUUCGAGAUAUUAGCUGUCUACUAGAUAAGUAAAUUGAAUUUUAUAUUUAAGUUAGAAAGCUUAAAUGAGUUUUGGGGACGAGAAGACCCUAUAGAUCUUUAUAUUGAAUUCAAUAAUAUUAUCAUGUGGUUUAAUUGGGAUUUAUUGUUUUUGAUAUUUUAUUGGGGUGAUACGGGAAUAUAUAAACUUCUUGAGUAUUAUAAACUUGAAUUGAAGAAUUUUGGAUCCUUAAUUUAGGAAGGAAGAUUAAGAUACCUUAGGGAUAACAGCGUUAUUUUGUUAGAAAGUUCAUAUUAAUAACGAAGAUUGCGACCUCGAUGUUGGAUUAAGAUUAUUAGCUGGUGCAGAAGUUAGUUAAAUAGGUCUGUUCGACCAUUAAAUUCU